rnacentral:tRNA from 1 species
UGGGUGUGGCUCAGAGGUAGAGCACUUGCCUGGCAGGCAGGAGACUCUGGGUUCAAUCCCUAACACUUCAA